rnacentral:rRNA from 1 species
AGAAUCAACGCUGGCGGCGUGCCUAACACAUGCAAGUCGAACGAGAACGGGUAGCAAUACCUUAGUAAAGUGGCGCACGGGUGAGUAACACGUGACUAACCUACCCUGGAGCGGGGGAUAACUGAGAGAAAUCUUAGCUAAUACCGCAUAACACUUACGAGUCAAAGCAGCAAUGCGCUUGGGGAGGAGGUCGCGGCCGAUUAGCUAGUUGGCGGGGUAAUGGCCCACCAAGGCGAUGAUCGGUA